CUCGUCAACUCUGUCCGCUCUUUGCCUGGACAUGUCUUAAGAAAGUUGGAUCUCUCCCUCCCUUUCGCCUUCUUUUUUUCUCCCCCCCUUUUUUUUCCCCCUCUUUCGCCCUCUGUUCUACCCCCUCUUCUUUUCCCCCCUCCCUGUCUAUUUUUCCUUCCCACCCUCGUUCAAGUUUCGAGCAGCGGAUGGGUGGGAGCCGACAUGCCGCGCUGUGGCGAUGGGCCCGGGCGCCGCUCUCGCUGCGCGCCGGGUCCGCGCUGAGCGCCGGGGCUGCGGGGUUCGGGCUCUAGAGGUGUGUGGACACCGGAGCAUUGCUCGCUUUUUCUCAAGCGGACAAAAAAGGGGGGUAGGAAGCGUGCGGACAUGAACUGAGCUAGAGCGGACUUUGGGAGAAGAGCGCCGAGUCCAGCUGGUCUGGGUUUCUUCGUAAUUGCUGCCAUGGGAAGAUACUUGACUAUGCUGUUGCUGCUGAUGCUGCUGGUGCAGCAUUUUGGAAACUGUGAAGGAAAUCAAAGGCUACAUCAUGCUCCACCAAUGCAAUUUACACAAGUAGAGUAUAAUGCCACUGUGUAUGAGAAUUCCGCAGCCAAGACUUAUGUUGGGCAUCCAGUGAAAAUGGGCAUUUACAUUACAAAUCCAUCAUGGGACCUAAGAUACAAAAUUAUUUCUGGUGACAGUGAGAACUUGUUCAAAGCUGAAGAAUAUAUUCUUGGCAACUUUUGCUAUUUGAGAAUACGAACCAAGGGAGGAAACACAGCUAUCCUUAAUAGAGAGGUAAAAGACCAUUACAUGCUGACUGUUAAAGCAGUUGAAAAAAACACAAAUGCUGAAACACGCACAAAGGUCAGGAUACAGGUACUGGAUACAAAUGACUUGCGGCCUUUGUUUUCUCCGACAUCUUACAGUGUUUCUUUGCCUGAAAACUUGGCAAUAAGGACCAGCAUCGCAAGAGUCAGUGCAACAGACGCAGAUAUAGGAACAAAUGGAGAGUUUUACUAUAGCUUUAAAGAAAGAACAGAUGUGUUUGCUAUACAUCCAACUAGUGGAGUGGUAGUUCUAACUGGUAGACUUGACUACUCGGACACUAAACGUUAUGAGAUGGAAAUUCUUGCAGUGGACCGUGGACUGAAGCUGUAUGGUAGCAGUGGCAUAAGCAGUAUGGCAAAACUCACUGUUUAUGUAGAGCAAGCAAAUGAAUAUGCACCAGUUAUUACAGCUGUUACGUUGACUCCAUCGGAAUCGGACAAAGACCCAACUUAUGCAAUUGUAACUGUAGAGGACAAUGAUCAGGGUUCUAAUGGGGAAAUAGCAGCAUUAAAUAUUGUUGCAGGUGAUCCACUUCAACAGUUCAAAACAGUGAGGUCUCUUCCAGGAGGUAAGGAAUACAGAAUAAAAGCCAUUGGUCACAUUGACUGGGAGAGCCACCCUUUUGGAUACAACCUUACCCUUCAAGCUAAAGAUAAAGGAAAUCCCCCACAGUUUUCUUCUGUAAAAGUUGUUCGUGUAAUAUCACCACAGUUCAAGUUUGGUCCUGUCAGAUUUGAAAAAGAGAUAUACAGAGCUGAAAUAAGUGAGUUUGCCCCUCCAAAUACACCUGUGAUAAUGGUGAAAGCUCUGCCUAGUUACCCACACUUAAAAUACAUUUUUAAAAAUACACCAGGCAAAAUAAAAUUCAAUUUAAAUGCUCACACUGGUCUUAUUACCACUUCAGAACCCAUAAAAGCACAGUAUGCAUCCCAUUUUGAACUUGAAGUUGCGACAAGUGACAAAAGAGCAUCUGCAAAAGUAUUAAUUAAGGUACUAGGCAUGAACAGCAAUCCUCCUGAAUUUACUCAGACAUCCUAUAAAGCCUCCUUUGAUGAAAAUGUGCCAGUAGGUACGAGUGUCAUGAGAGUAAGUGCAAAAGACCCCGAUGAAGGGGAAAAUGGGUAUGUGACCUAUAGCAUUGCAAACCUAAAUCUUUUGCCAUUUGUGAUUAACCAUUUCAGUGGGAUUAUUAGUACCUCAGAAGACUUGGAUUAUGAAUUGAUGCCAAGGGUUUAUAAUUUACGGAUUCGAGCUUCCGAUUGGGGUGUACCAUAUCGUCGAGAAGUUGAAGUUCCUGUUACUAUUAUUUUAAAUAACCUGAAUGACAAUAUACCUCUGUUUGAGAAAAUAAAUUGUGAAGGAACAAUCCCCAGGGAUCUUGGUGUUGGAGAACAAAUAACAACUGUAUCUGCUAUUGAUGCUGAUGAGCUCCAGUUGGUGAGAUACCAAAUCGAAUCUGGAAAUGAACUGGAUUUAUUUAGCCUAAAUCCAAAUUCUGGAGUACUUUCACUCAAACAGUCGCUAAUAGAUGGCUUAGGUGCUAAAAUAUCUUUUCACAGUUUGAAAAUUACAGCCACAGACGGAGAAAACUUUGCGAAACCAUUGUAUAUCAACAUAACUGUAGCUACUACUCGCAAACCAGUCAACUUGCAAUGUGAGGAAACUGGUGUUGCCAAAAUGCUUGCAGAGAAACUCUUACAAGCAAAUAAAUUGCACAGUCGUGGAGAAGUUGAGGAUGUUUUCUUUGACACUCACUCUGUGAAUCUUCAUGCACCACAAUUUAGAAGUACUCUCCCUAGUAGCAUUGAGAUAAGAGAAGACCAACCUGUGGGUUCCAGCAUAGUGCCUAUGAAUGCUACUGAUCUUGAUACUGGCUUCAAUGGAAAGCUAGUGUAUGUUAUUUCUGGAGGUAAUGAAGAUAGUAGUUUCAUUAUUGAUAUGGAAAGAGGAGUGCUGAAAACUUUAUCUCCCCUUGACAGAGAAGUGAAAGAUAAAUAUACUCUAAAUAUUACUGUCUAUGAUCUUGGAAUACCACAGAAGUCUGCCUCACACCUUUUAGAUAUAAAAAUUUUGGAUGCUAAUGACAACCCACCGGAGUUCCUGCAGGACAGCUAUUUUGUUGAAGUGAGAGAAAACGAAGAGCCAAAUAGUGAAAUAAUUCAAAUUGAAGCUACUGAUAAGGAUUUGAGGGCUAAUGGAGAAGUGAAAUAUUCUCUUCUUACAGAUACAGACAAGUUUACUAUUAAUGCUGUGACAGGAAUUGUGAAAGUUGUAGGGAUUCUGGAUCGUGAAGAACAGCAUGUCUAUUUUUUGAAAAUAGAGGCUAGGGACCAACCUACUGAAGAACCUCAAUUAUUUUCAACAGUUAUUUUGAAAGUGUCUGUAGAAGAUAUUAAUGACAAUCCUCCUAAGUUUAUUCCUUCAAACUAUCAUGUGAAAAUUCGAGAAGAUCUUCCUGAGGGGACUAUUAUUACAUGGCUAGAAGCCUAUGAUCCUGAUUUAGGCCAGUCAAGUCAAGUACGAUACAGUCUUUUGGACAAUGGAGAUGGCACCUUUGAUGUUGACAAGCUAAGUGGAGCAAUGCGUAUUGUAGAAAGACUGGAUUAUGAAAAGAAACAAUUUUAUAACUUGACUGUACGGGCCAAGGACAAAGGAAAACCCAUUUCAUUGUCCUCUACGUGUUAUGUUGAGGUUGAGAUAGUUGAUGUGAAUGAAAACUUGCACACUCCACGGUUCUCUAUAUUCGCAGAUAAAGGCUUUAUAAAAGAAGAUGCCCCUGUUGGCUCCUCGGUAAUGACAGUAUCUGCUUAUGAUGAAGAUGCAGGACGAGAUGGGGAGAUUAGAUAUUCCAUCAGAGAUGGAUCUGGUAUAGGAGUUUUUCGAAUAGAUGAAGAAAAAGGUAUUAUUGAGACUGCAGAUCGCCUGGAUCGUGAGACUACUUCGCAUUACUGGUUAACUGUUUAUGCAACAGACCAAGGCGUUGUGCCUUUAUCAUCUUUCAUUGAAAUCUACGUAGAAGUUGGGGAUGUUAAUGAUAACGCUCCUCAGACCACAGAACCAGUUUAUUACCCAGAGGUCAUGGAAAACUCACCUAAAGAUGUAUCAGUCAUUCAGAUUGAAGCAUUUGAUCCAGAUUCUAGCUCAAGUGAAAAGUUAACCUACAAGAUUACAAGUGGAAAUCCACAGGGUUUCUUUUCAAUAAACCCCAAAACUGGUCUAAUUACAACUACAUCUAGAAAACUAGAUCGAGAGCAGCAAGGAGAACACAUACUGGAGGUAACGGUAACAGACAACGGUAUUCCUGCAAAAUCAACAAUUGCACGGGUGAUUGUGAAGGUCUUAGAUGAGAAUGACAAUAAGCCUCAGUUCUUGCAAAAGUUCUACAAAAUCAGGCUUCCAGAGCGUGGUAAGCCAGAACGAGAGAGAACUGCUAGGAGAGAGCCGAUCUAUCGAGUUAUUGCUGCAGAUAAAGAUGAAGGCCCCAAUGCAGAGAUCUCAUACAGCAUUGAAGAUGGUGAUGAACAUGGCAAAUUCUUUAUUGAACCGAAAACUGGUGUGGUUUCAUCAAAGAAAUUUUCUGCAGCAAGGGACUAUGAUAUUCUUUCAAUUAAGGCUGUAGAUAAUGGUCGUCCACAAAAAUCAUCAACUACACGGCUUCACAUAGAGUGGAUUCCAAAGCCUGUCCCACCCACAGAGCCCAUUUACUUCGAGGAAGCAUUUUUUUCUUUUACGGUGAUGGAAAGUGAUCCAGUUGCUCAUAUGAUUGGCGUAAUAGCUGUUGAACCUCUUGGAACACCACUUUGGUUUGACAUAACGGGAGACAAGCUUGCUAGUGAAGUAUUUUACAUCUUUCAGAUGGCUUGUGACCUGAACUGUACAGCAGAAGGUGGCAACUCUGACAGUCGAUUUGAUGUGGACAAGGGUACUGGAACUAUCAUUGUUGCUAGACCUCUCGAUGCAGAGCAGAAAUCAAAUUACAACUUGACAGUAGAGGCAACAGAUGGAACCAGAUCUAUCAGCACUCAGGUGUACAUCAAAGUUAUAGACACAAAUAAUCACAGGCCACAGUUUUCUGCUUCAAAAUAUGAAGUUGUUAUACCCGAAGACACCAUGCCAGAGACAGAAAUUCUGCAAGUCAGUGCCACAGACAGAGAUGAGAAGAAUAAACUGAUAUAUACUAUGCAGGGCAGCACUGAUCCCAUCAGUCUCAAAAAAUUUCGUCUGGACCCUGGAACUGGCUCUCUUUAUACUUCAGAAAAACUGGAUCAUGAGACCAUGAACCAGCAUAUUCUUACAAUAAUGGUUCGAGAUCAAGAUGUCCCUGUAAAGCGUAACUAUGCUAGAAUCAUCAUUAAUGUUAGUGACACAAAUGAUCACGCCCCAUGGUUCACCAGCUCUUCCUAUGAAGGACGCGUGUACGAGUCAGCAGCUGUUGGAUCAGCAGUACUCCAGGUUACAGCAUUAGAUAAGGACAAAGGAAAAAAUGCAGAAAUUGUGUACUCUAUUGAAUCAGGGAAUAUUGGAAAUUCCUUCUCUUUAGAUCCCAUUUUGGGUAUGAUUAAAACUGCAAAGGAAUUAGAUCGUAGUAACCAGGAAGAAUACAACCUGAUGGUAAAAGCUGCAGACAAAGGAGAUCCUCCAAUGAGUGAAGUGACCUCUCUACGUAUAUUUGUCACGGUUUCUGAUAAUGCCUCACCAAAAUUCACAGCCAAAGAAUAUUCUGCAGAAAUCAGUGAAAGUGCCAGCGUCGGUAGUUUUGUUGGAAUGGUUACAGCAUACAGUCAGUCUUCUGUAGUCUAUGAAAUAAAAGAUGGAAAUAUAGGUGAUGCCUUUGCUAUCAAUCCAAACUCAGGUGUCAUUGUUUCUCAGAAGGUACUUGAUUUUGAAACUUUGCCUGUUUACACUCUAACUGUGCAAGGAACAAACAUGGCUGGCUUGUCCACUAAUGCAACAGUUUUGGUACAUCUUCGGGAUGAGAAUGACAAUACACCAGUUUUUAUGCAGGCUGAAUAUACAGGACUCAUCAGUGAAUCAGCUUCAAUUAACAGUGUGGUUCUGACUGACAAGAAUAUCCCAUUAGUAAUUCGAGCUACAGAUGCUGAUAAAGAAUCUAAUGCCUUGCUUGUUUAUCAAAUUGUUGAACCAUCUGUCCGCAAGUAUUUUGCCAUUGAUUCUAGCACUGGUGCCAUUUGGACAGUAAUGAGUCUGGACUAUGAGGAGACAAAUAUUUUCCACUUUUCAGUGCAAGUACAUGAUAUGGGGAUACCACAUUUAUAUGCAGAAUACACAGCUAAUGUUACUAUUUAUGUAAUUGACAUCAAUGACUGUCCUCCUGUGUUUUCAAGAGAGUUGUACGAGACAUCUAUUUUGGUUCCAACCUAUAAAGGUGUGGAAGUCAUCAGCGUAAAUGCCACUGAUGCUGAUUCGGGCAUUUUUUCACAAUUAAUUUAUUCCAUUAUUGAAGGCAACAUUGGAGAAAAAUUUUCAAUAAACCCUAAGACUGGAGGUAUAACAGUGCAAAAUACAACUCAGUUAAGAAGCAGAUAUGAAUUAACAGUGAGAGCAUCUGAUGGCAGAUUUGCAAGCACUGCAUCUGUAAAAGUUAAUGUGAAAGAAAGCAAGGCAAGCCAGCUGAAGUUCACACAGAGUUCUUACUCUGCAACAGUGCAGGAGAAUUCCACAGAGGCAAAAACAAUAGCUGUUGUUACUGCUAUAGGAAAUCAAAUAAAUGAGCCUUUGUUUUACCAUAUUCUAAAUCUAGACAGCAGAUUUAAAAUAAGCCCAACUUCUGGAGCCCUUUCAACAACAGGAAUACCAUUUGAUCGUGAACAGCAAGAAUCUUUUGAUGUGGUCAUAGAAGUGACAGAGGAAUACAGACCAUCAGUUGUUGCACACAUUGUAGUUAAAGUCACAGUGGAAGAUGUGAAUGAUAAUGCUCCAUUUUUUGUCAAUCUUCCGUAUUAUGCUGUUGUUAAAGUAGACUCUGAAGUAGGCCGUGUUAUUCAGCAUGUCACUGCAGUAGAUAAAGAUGCAGGUAGAAAUGGAGAGGUGCAUUAUUAUCUCAAAGAACAUCAUGAGCAUUUCCAAAUUGAUCCCACUGGUGAAAUCUCCCUGAAGAAGAAGUUUGAACCAGAUACACUAAACAAGGAGUAUCUGGUCACAGUAGUGGCAAAAGAUGAAGGAGACCCUGCGUUUUCUUCUGAAGUUACAGUCCCAAUUACAGUUAUGAGUAAAGCUAUGCCAGUUUUCGAAAAGCCUUUCUACACUGCAGAGAUACCAGAAAACAUUCACCUCCAUAGUCCUGUGGUACAUGUACAAGCAAACAGCCCAGAAGGACUUAAGGUGUUUUACAGCAUCACAGGUGGAGAUCCUUUCAAUCAGUUCACUAUCAACUUCAACACUGGAGUUAUAAAUGUCGUUGCCCUUCUUGACUUUGAGUCUCAUCCAGCCUACAAACUGAGUAUUCGAGCAACAGACUCCUUAACAGGGGCACAUGCUGAUGUGUUUGUAGACAUAAUAGUGGAAGACAUCAAUGAUAAUCCUCCUGUGUUUACAGAGCAAACUUACACUGCAACCCUUUCUGAGGCCUCUGUCAUUGGAACAUCUGUUGUACAAGUGAGCGCCACAGAUGCUGAUUCUGGAACAAACAGGGGGAUUUGCUAUCACUUGGUUGAGGAUAAUAGUGAAAGUCAUGACUACUUCCAUAUAGAUAGCAGCACUGGGCUCAUUCUUACAGCAAGAACUUUGGACUAUGAACAAAUUAAACAACACAAGUUACUAAUAAGGGCCAUAGAUGGUGGCAUGCUGCCCUUGAGCAGUGAUACCAUUGUAACUGUUGAUGUAACUGAUCUCAAUGAUAACCCCCCUGUUUUUAACCAGUUGCUUUAUGAAGCUAAAAUUAGUGAACUGGCUCCCCGAGGGCAUUUUGUGACAUGUGUGCAAGCAUCAGAUGCAGAUAGUUCGGAUGUUGACAAGCUGGAGUACUCCAUUCUGACAGGCAAUGACCAGAAGAAUUUUGUAAUUAAUAGUAAAACUGGCAUUAUCACCAUAUCAAACCUACGCAGACAGACGCUAAAGUCACAUUAUAAUCUUAAUGUGUCUGUUUCUGAUGGGGUCUUCAGAAGCUCAGCCCGAGUCUAUGUAACUGUAACCAGUGCCAAUAUGCACAGUCCCGUUUUCAGCCAGAAUGAGUAUGAGGUGGAACUAGCUGAAAAUGCUCCAUUGCAUACUUCAGUGACUGAAGUUAAAGCAACUGAUGAAGAUUCUGGUACAUAUGGCCACAUCACUUACCAUAUUGUGAAUGACUUUGCCAAAGACAGGUUUUAUGCAAAUGACAGAGGGCAGAUAUUUACCUCCAAAAAGCUUGACCGUGAAACACAAGCAGAAAAAGUAAUUGCCAUUAGUUUAAUGGCCAAAGAUUCAGGAGGAAAAGUUGCUUUCUGUACUGUUAAUGUAAUACUUACAGAUGUCAAUGAUAACACUCCUCAAUUCCGAGCAGCAGAGUAUGAAGUAAGUAUUGGAUCUGAUGUUCCACGGGGUACUUCUGUCAUUAAAGUCUGGGCAUCCGACGCUGAUGAGGGUACAAAUGCAGAUAUCACAUAUGCUAUUGAAGCAGAGUCUGAAAAUGUUAAAGAGAAUUUAGAAAUUGACUCAUUGUCUGGCAUAAUUACUACAAAAGAAAGCUUAAUUGGUUUAGAAAAUGAGUUUCUGACCUUCUUUGUUAGAGCAGUUGAUGGUGGAUCCCCCAAAAAAGUGUCAGUUGUUCCUGUCUAUGCUAGAAUACUCCCACCAGAAGUGCCUCUUCCAAAAUUUUCAGAGCCAUUUUAUUCUUACACAGUUUCUGAGGACAUUCCAAUUGGAACUGAGAUAGAUGUUAUCAAAGCAGAGCAUAAUCAGACUUUAGUAUAUAGUCUGAUUAAAGGGAACACCCCUGAAAGCAAUAGAGAUGCUUUUUUUGUGAUUGACCGACAGACUGGAGAGUUGAAACUUGACAAGAAUCUUGAUCAUGAAACAACUAAAUGGUACCAGUUCUCAGUUCAAGCACAAUAUGCAAAUGAAGAUUAUAAUAUUGUUUCCUCAGUAGAGGUAAGUAUUCAGGUAAAAGAUACAAAUGAUAACAGACCGAUUUUGGAGUCCAAUCCUUAUGAAGCAUUCAUCGUAGAAAACAUGCCAGCUGGAACAAAAGUCAUCCAGGUUAAAGGAACAGACUUGGAUUCAGGACUCAAUGGGCAGGUUACUUACAGCUUGGAUCCUUCUCAAGAACUAGACAUUUUAGAGUCUUUUGCUAUAAACAUGGAAACUGGCUGGAUUACCACUCUAAAAGAACUUGAUCAUGAGAAACAAGACAAAUACAAAGUCACAGUGGUUGCAUCUGAUCGGGGUGAAAAAGUUCAACUGUCUUCUAUGGCUGUGGUUGAAGUUACUGUUACAGAUGUGAAUGACAAUCCACCACGCUUUACUGCAGAGAUAUAUAAAGGAACAGUCAGUGAGGAUGACCCUCCUGAUGGGGUAAUUGCUAUCUUGAGUUCGACUGAUGCUGAUACAGAAGAAGCCAAUAGACAAGUCUUCUAUUACAUUACAGGAGGUGAUCCCUUGGGACAGUUUGCUAUUGAAAAUAUGCAGAAUGAAUGGAAGGUCUAUGUCAAAAAACCCUUAGACAGGGAAGAAAAGGAUAAUUACCUUCUAAAUAUUACAGCUACCGAUGGGACCUUUGCAACUAAAGCUGUGGUGGAGGUUAAAGUCCUUGAUGCUAAUGAUAAUAGCCCUGUUUGCGAAAAGGCUUUAUACACUGAUUCUGUUCCUGAGGAUGCACUUCCUGGCAAACUGAUAAUGCAGGUAUCUGCUACAGACGCAGAUAUUCGUUCCAAUGCAGAAAUUACUUACACACUGCAUGGCACAGGAGCAGAAAAAUUCAGACUCGCUCCAGACACAGGUGAACUGAAAACAUUAAUGCCACUUGAUCGUGAGCAGCAAGCAGUUUAUUAUCUCCUAGUGAAAGCUACAGAUGGAGGAGGAAGAUUCUGCCAAGCUAAUAUUAUUCUGACUCUGGAAGAUGUGAAUGAUAAUGCCCCAGUGUUUGCAGCUGAUCCUUACUCCAUUACAGUAUUUGAAAACACAGAGCCUAAAACCCUUUUGACAAGAGUACAGGCAACAGAUGCUGAUGCAGGGAUGAACCGUAAAAUCCAUUAUUCACUGGUGAACUCUGCAGAGGGCCAGUUCUCUAUCGAUGAAUUCUCUGGAAUCAUUCGUUUGGAGAAGCCAUUGGAUCGGGAAUUACAAGCUGUGUACACUCUAACUUUGAAGGCUACAGAUGAAGGUUUACCUAGAAGACUGUCUUCAACAAGUAGUCUUAUAGUUUCUGUUUUGGAUAUAAAUGAUAAUCCACCUGUAUUUGAGUAUAGGGAGUAUAGUGCAAGUGUAUCAGAGGACAUUUUGGUUGGAACUGAAGUUCUCCAGAUCUAUGCUGCAAGCAGGGACAUUGAAGCCAACGCUGAAAUCACAUACUCAAUAGUCAGUGGCAAUGAACAUGGAAAAUUCAGCAUUGAUUCAACAACAGGAGCCAUUUUUGUCAUUGAGAGCUUGGAUUAUGAAAGUUCUCAUGAGUACUACUUGACAGUGGAAGCCACAGAUGGAGGCACUCCUUCACUAAGUGAUGUUGUAACAGUGAAUAUUAAUGUAACAGAUAUCAAUGACAAUACUCCAGUGUUUAGCCAAGACACUUACACUGCAGUAAUCAGUGAAGAUGCUAUGCUUGAACAAUCAGUCAUUACAGUUAUGGCAGAUGAUGCCGAUGGACCUUCAAACAACCGCAUUCACUACGCAAUUAUAGAUGGCAAUCAGGGAAAUCCUUUUACAAUUGACCCCACAAGAGGUGAAAUAAAAGUGGCUAAAUUUCUAGACAGAGAAAAGAUUUCAGGAUAUACCUUGACAGUUCAAGCUUCAGAUAAUGGAAACCCACCGAGACUUAACACAACUGCAGUUAAUAUUGAUGUUUCUGAUGUAAAUGACAAUCCUCCAGUAUUCUCAAAAGGAAACUAUAGUGUUAUCAUCCAGGAAAAUAAGCCUGUUGGAUUUAGUGUGCUGCAGCUAGUGGUGACAGACAAGGAUUCUUCUCACAAUGGCCCUCCAUUUCUCUUUACCAUCCUGAGCGGAAAUGAAGAGAACACUUUUCAGAUUACCCAGCAGGGAGUACUGACAACAGCUGCUGCACUGAAUCGCAAAGUGAGGGAUCACUAUUUACUCCAUGUUAAGGUGGCAGAUAAUGGAAAACCACCAUUGUCAUCUUUGACUUACAUUGAUAUUAGAGUUAUUGAGGAAAGCAUUUAUUCUCCAGCAAUUCUGCCUCUAGAAAUCUUUAUCACAGCCUUUGGAGAAGAAUAUUCAGGUGGUGUUAUUGGAAAAAUUCAUGCAACUGAUCAAGAUGUUUAUGAUACUCUGACGUACAGUCUGGACCCCAAAAUGGAAUCCUUGUUCUCCGUUUCCAGUACCGGUGGCAAACUAAUAGCACAUAAAAGCUUAGAUGUAGGACAGUACCUCCUAAAUGUCACUGUUACAGAUGGAAAAUUUGCAACUGCAGCUGAUAUUACUGUGCACAUCCGACAAAUCACACAAGAUUUACUAAAUCACAGCAUUGCAAUACGCUUUGCAAACCUUGCCCCUGAAGAAUUCAUUGGUGAUUACUGGCGCAAUUUCCAGAGAGCGUUAAGAAACAUCUUGGGUGUGAGGAGAAAUGAUAUCCAGAUUGUUAGUUUGCAGCCCUCUGAUCCUCCUUCAAAUCUUGAUGUCCUCCUGCAUAUUGAAAAGUCUGGUAGCUCUCAGCAUCCGGUGAGAAUUUUGCUCCACAAGAUAAACUCUUCUGUGCCUGACCUAGAGGAGAUUUUGGGUGUCCGGAUAAUUGAUGUUUUCCAUAAGCUUUGUGCAGGCCUAGAUUGUCCUUUGAAAUUUUGUGAAGAAAAGGUAACAGUGGAUGAGAACAUCAUGUCAACCCACAGCACAGCCAGGUUGAGUUUUGUCACUCCCCGUCAUCACAGAACAGCAGUUUGUCUUUGUAAAGAAGGGAAAUGCCCCUUGGUGAAUAGUGUGUGUGAAGAAAACCCAUGCCCUGAAGGUACUGAAUGUUUAGGAGAUCCAAGGGAAGGAAAAUACACCUGUGUUUGCCAAGACAGCCAAGUCGGACAGUGUCCUGCAUCAGCCAGCUCUGCUGUGACAUUUAGUGGGAGCAGCUAUGUGAAAUACCGUCUCAUGGAAAAUGAGAACAAAGAGGAAAUGAAGCUGGCAAUGAGACUUAGGACUUACUCUGCUCAUGCAGUUGUUAUGUAUGCUCGAGGAACAGACUACAGUAUCUUAGAGAUUCACCAUGGAAGGCUGCAAUACAAAUUUGAUUGUGGCAGUGGACCUGGGAUUGUCUCUGUUCAGAGCAUUCAGAUAAAUGAUGGCCAGUGGCAUUCAGUGUCUCUUGAAGUGGAUGGAAAUUACGCACGACUUGUUCUGGAUAGGGUGCAUACUGCUUCUGGUACUGCUCCUGGUACACUUAGGACACUAAACCUAGAUAAUCAUGUGUUUUUUGGUGGUCAUAUUCGACAGCAAGGUACCAGACAUGGUAGAAGCCCUCAGGUUAGCAAUGGUUUCAGAGGCUGUAUGGAUUCUGUUGUACUUAAUGGACAAGAGCUGCCCCUGAACAGUAAACCACGAAAUUAUGCACACAUGGAAGAAUCUGUAGAUGUGACUCCUGGAUGCUUACUGACUACCACAGAAGGUUGUUCAAGCAGUCCAUGUCAGAAUGGAGGCAUCUGCAAUGCAUUGUCAAAUGGAGGUUACUACUGCAAGUGUGCACCUUUGUUUAUGGGAACUCACUGUGAUGUAAGUGUCAACCCAUGUGCUUCCAACCCCUGCCUUUAUGGUGGUACUUGCAUCCCGGUCAGUGAUGAUUUUAUCUGCCAGUGCCGAGGACAAUAUACAGGGCAAAGGUGCCAGCUGGGUCCAUACUGCAAAGACAAUCCUUGUAAAAACAGUGGCAAGUGUAUUGACAGUUUGGAUGGACCUGUUUGUGAGUGUGAAGUAGGCUUCCGUGGAGAAAGGUGCCUGACUGAUGUCGAUGAAUGCAUAGAAAACCCAUGUCUUAAUGGUGCCCUUUGUGAGAAUACUUACGGUUCAUAUCACUGCAACUGUAGCCAUGGAUUUGGAGGAAAACACUGCACAGACAUUGUUCUUAACAAAUACGUUUCAACAUCUUGGAACAUUAGCUUAGCUGAAGUGAUUGGGAUCAUUGUUUUCAUCGCAGGAAUAUUCUUGUUAGUUGUCGUUUUUGUUGUUUGCCGCAAAGUGGUUAGUAGAAAGAAGAAGCAUCAGCCAGAACCUGAAGACAAGCAGCUGGGGGCUACAACAGCUUUCUUGCAAAGACCUUAUUUUGAUGCAAAAUUGAAUAAGAACAUCUAUUCUGACAUCCCACCACAGGUUCCUGUUCGUCCCAUUUCGUACACUCCAAGCAUUCCAAGUGACUCCAGGAACAAUCUUGACAGGAAUUCUUUUGAAGGGUCUGCUAUCCCCGAGCACCCAGAGUUUAGUACUUUUAACCCAGAUUCUGUACAUGGUCAUCGGAAAGCUGUAGCUGUUUGCAGCGUAGCACCAAAUUUGCCACCUCCACCUCCCUCCAACUCUCCUUCAGACAGUGAUUCAAUACAGAAACCCAGCUGGGAUUUUGACUAUGACAGUAAAGUAGUAGAUCUUGACCCCUGCCUUUCAAAAAAGCCUUUGGAUGAAAAGAACUCCCACCCUUACAGUGCUAGAGAAAGCAUGUCUGAGGUCCAGUCUCUCAGCUCCUUUCAGUCUGAAUCAUGUGAUGACAAUGCUCCCAUAUGGAUCAGAUCAGUUCUGAGUGAAAGCAGAGUUUAAGGGACUGCUUCUUCCGUAGUGACUGUAAUACACCUUGUCAAUGCUGUUGUUGACUCGGUGGAAAAAGAAGAGUCUUUUGCUGUUCCUGACCUCAGCAAUUCAAGAGGUUAUCACUGGGAUACAUCAGACUGGAUGCCAAGUGUUCAGUUGCCAGGUAUCCAAGAGUAUCCAAAUUAUGAAGUGGUUGAAGAGUCAGCUCCCCUUUACAGUGAUCCGAAUGCCAUCGAUACAGACUAUUACCCUGGCGGUUAUGACAUUGAAAGUGAUUUUCCGCCUCCACCUGAUGACUUCCCUGCACCUGAUGAGCUUCCACCAUUACCACCAGACUACAGCGACCAAUUUGAGUCAAUACAGCCACCCAGAGACAUGCCAGCCGUAGGUAGCUUGGGUUCUUCUGCAAGAAGCAGGCAGAGAUUUAACCUUAAUCAGUACCUUCCCCAUCACUAUCCUGCAGACAUGUCAGAACCUCAGACCACAACCGGUGGUGUCAACGGCAGUUACAGAGAACCUUAUGCUCCUUACACGUUAGGGUACAAUAGAGACUUUGAAGCACCAACUGUAGACAACAUGUCCAUGUCUGUGUAUGCUUCCACAGCUUCAUGCUCCGAUGUGUCAGCAUGCUGUGAAAUGGAGUCAGAAGUCAUGAUGAGUGACUAUGAGAGUGGAGACGAUGGUCAUUUUGAAGAUGUGAGGAUUCCUCCGCUUGAUUCCCAGCAACAUACAGAAGUCUGACACGCUCAACAAAAGUGCCUGGACUCUAACAAACUUUAUCAAUUCUAGAACAACUUUCAAGAGCUUUUUUAGUUUUUUUUUCUUAUUCCCAGCCACAGUGAAUGCUUUUGUUUCAGUGAGCUAAACUGGCAUGGCAGCCUUGGAUCAUGCAGUUCAUUUCACUAAAUCAGCCUGUUUCCAUUUCCUGACCUACUGUAAUUGGACAGUUCCAAGAUUUCCAUUGGCCGUGCCAUUUCUGAACAUCCUUUUUGUACUUACAUUGUCUAUGUUAAGAAAAUCACAUACCACUUCUCCAUGUUAGCAUGAUGCAUAUAUUUAUAUAGUUCUAAUGCAAUUAAUUUUCUCCUACUUUUUGUAAAUUUUAUGUACAGUUUUGAUUUUAAUAGUUUUAACUAGAUUUUGUAGAUAUUUUGUGAAUUUGUUUUCCACUGAAACUAGUGGUGUUAGUGUGCCAUUAAAAACUAGCACCCUGACUUAUUAUAAUCAGGGCUUCACUGUAUGUAUUCCCUAAAAAACUAAGGUUUCACAUUUCAUUAUUUUAAAAAAAAAAAAAAAAAAAUCAACAUAUUCACACAAUUCCAACUGUACAUAGGUUAGAUCUGAUAUUCUUCUGGGUCUGCUACAUGGAAAUGUCUUAAAUGGGUUGCUGUAUUUUAGAACUGUAAACAAUUUUUCCCUUCUUGGAAAGUGUGUUGGGGGCCCUCUACAUACCAGUUUAGAACCAAAACCACCAUGACACAGUUUUUAUAGUGUCUGUAUAUUUGUGAUCCAAUGGUCUUGUAAAGGUUUUUACUGAAAAUUACCAUUAGCCAGUCUUUCUUACUGACAAUAAAUUAUUAAUAAAAUACUUUAGCUUUGCUCUGUGUAUCUGUAUUAUAUAUAAUAUACAAUUGACAAAGCAUUCAGUGCAGCAUUUUUAAGUCUGUAUAUGUUUUGUACUGUAUGAAGUUAAUUGCUCCAAGCAACACAUUUUCCUCUCCUCAGAAGUCAAACCGCAGCUGUGUUAGAUGCUCACUAGAUGGCAGUGUGUGUCUACUUAAUGGUGUUUUAAAAAGUAAACGGGCCAGUAUGAAUAAAGAUUGAUGGGUAUCAAACUCCA